rnacentral:lncRNA from 1 species
UGUGUGUAUUAAUCAAAGUGUCAUAUUUUUUUUCCUUUCAAUGAUCUCUUCUUCCUCCCCGUGUUGUCCUGGUGAAGAUUUGCCGUUUUCCACCACAGAGAAUGACGAUUUGAUGAGGGUAUAUAUGUUUGAGAAGUCAAUUUGGUAAUAAAAGUAUUUUUUUGUUGAUAAAUUCCAUGAAAUUUUUUACACGUAAGAAAGAUCCUCUCUUUUGUAAAUAUAAUAAGGUGCCCGUCAUUGCCAUGG